rnacentral:rRNA from 1 species
CUGCCAGACUCCUACGGGAGGCAGCAGUGGGGGAUAUUGCACAAUGGGGGGAACCCUGAUGCAGCGACGCCGCGUGGGUGAAGGAGCGUUUCGGCGCGUAAAGCCCUAUCGGCAGGGAAGAAGGAGGACGGUACCUGACUAAGAAGCCCCGGCUAACUACGUGCCAGCAGCCGCGGUAAUACGUAGGGGGCAAGCGUUAUCCGGAUUUACUGGGUGUAAAGGGGGCGCAGACGGCAGCGCAAGCCAGGAGUGAAAGCCCGGGGCCCAACCCCGGGACUGCUCUUGGAACUGCGCGGCUGGAGUGGGCGAGAAGUGCGCGGAAUGCGUGGUGUAGCGGUGAAAUGCAUAGAUAUCACGCAGAACUCCGAUUGCGAAGGCAGCGCACCGGCGCCCUACUGACGCUCAGGCACGAAAGCGUGGGUAUCGAACAGGAUUAGAUACCCUCGUAGA